AUUGAACGCUGGCGGCAGGCCUAACACAUGCAAGUCGAGCGAGCGGCGGACGGGUGAGUAAUGUAUGGGGACUGCCCGAUCGAGGGGGAUAACUCCUGGAAACGGUAGCUAAUACCGCAUACUAUCGGAUAACCCAUAUGGGGUUAGCUAGUAGGUGAGUUAAUGGCUCACCUAGGCGACGAUCCCUAGCUGGUCUGCGAGGAUGAUCAGCCACACUGGGACUGUGACACGGCCCAGACUCCUACGGAGUCAGCAGUGGGGAAUAUUGCACAAUUGGCGCAAGCCGGAUGCAGCCAUGCCGCGUGUAUGAAUAAGGCCCUAGGGUUGUAAAGUACUUUCAGUCGGGAGGCGUUACCGACAGAAGAAGCACCGGCUAACUCCGUGCCAGCCGCCGCGGUAAUAC
rnacentral:rRNA from 1 species